AAUUGUUUAAAUUGCCAACAUCGUAAACUAGUAAAAGGAAGAAUGAAGAUUCAGAUCCAGCUAUUUCUGAAAGGAACCCAUGCCUUCCACAUCACAUUAAAUGCUUCCCUCCUCCAAGAUUGUCGAAUGGAACAACUGGUGUGAGCCUGGAAAACAGUGGAGAUUCAAGAGAGUGCAGGAGCGAGAGUGAGAAUCAGAUGGAGAGCAAGAGAGCAAGAAUGAGGAUGAGAAUUCCCUAGGAAAGAGUUGUGAGGAGCUUUGAAAGAACCACCUGCGGUGCUUGAUAUAGGUGCUCUGGAAGUGGGG
rnacentral:lncRNA from 1 species